GACGAACGCUGGCGGCGUGCUUAACACAUGCAAGUCGAACGGAAAGGCCCUGCUUUUGUGGGGUGCUCGAGUGGCGAACGGGUGAGUAACACUUUAGUAACCUGCCCUUGACUUUGGGAUAACUUCAGGAAACUGGGGCUCAUACCGGAUAGGAGCUCCUGCUGCAUGGUGGGGGUUGGAAAGUUUCGGCGGUUGGGGAUGGACUCGCGGCUUAUCAGCUUGUUGGUGGGGUAGUGGCUUACCAAGGCUUUGACGGGUAGCAGGCCUGAGAGGGUGACCGGCCACAUUGGGACUGAGAUACGGCCCAGACUCGUACGGGAGGCAGCAGUGGGGAAUAGUGCACAAGGGGCGGAAGGCUAAUGCAGCAACGCCGCGUGCGGGAUGAGGGGCAUCGGGUUGUAAACCGAUUUCGCCUGUGACGAAGAGUGAGUGACGGUAAUGGGUAAAGAAGCACCGGCUAACUACGUG
rnacentral:rRNA from 1 species